rnacentral:rRNA from 1 species
AUGAGUGUAUUUAAACUCCCCGCCUCGGUUUGCGAUGACAUCACACGUAUGAUAUGCCAGUAUUGGUAGGGAGUUGAGAAUGGGAAGAAGAAGAUGGCUUGGAUGAGUUGGGAAAAGUUGAGACUACCCAAAUCCAUGGGAGGAUUGGGUUUUAGAGACAUGAGGGCGUUCAACCAGGCUUUGCUCGCUAAACAAGCAUGGAGAUUACUGGACAGACCGGACAGCUUAUGUGCGCGUUUGAUCAAGGCGAGAUAUUACCCCUUAGGCCAGCUUUUGGACACAGUGUUCCCGGGCACUGGCUCAGAAGUUUGGAAAGGAAUCUUGCAUGGUCUUGAGCUGAUUAAAAAGGGUGUCAUUUGGCGUGUCGGCAACGGUACGAAGAUCCGCACUUGGCGUGACCCAUGGCUCCCCCGACCUUACUCCUUCCGCCCAAUCACCCCGAAGGGAAAUUGCCGCUUCAAUAGGGCUUCGGAUUUCCUGGAUGGCAAUGGUGCAUGGCGGUAGGAUCGGCUCGGCGAGUUUUUCUGGCCUAUGGAUGUCAACCAGAUACUGAAGAUACGUACAUCGCCUCGCCAGAGGGAUGACUUUCUGUCCUGGUAUCCUGAGAAGAGUGGUUGCUUUACUGUGAGAAGUGCAUACAAACUGGCCAUGCAUGAUCAGAAUGUUGCAGCCGCCAAUGGUGCGUCCAACAGCGCCCCUGAGGGGAACCGUUUAGCUUGGAACCUCGUCUGGAAGGCUGCGGUUCCUCAAAAAUGA